CUGGCUUAUAACACAUACAGGGAGAAGCAAGAUGGAGGCACCCACUUACAGGAUAAAUAGGUGUUGAUUUCCAUAUUUUAUUUUUCACCCUUUAUAAAUAAUAUGUAUUUGUCAAGUAAAGACAGUAUGGAAAAUGCUUGGAAGUAACAAUUCUCCUUUAAUGCGUUACGUUACACUGACAAUACCGGAAAAAAAGUUAAAGUUAGAGAGAGAAAAAAAAGCAUGAAGAUUAGGUUGACCACUGCCCUGUUCAGAACCGCUCAGCCCAUUUGCACAGAACAUUUGAAAUGAUCCCAUAUGCUCAGAAUGGCCUGUGUUUAGUUUGCAGAGCACAAUCUUUUGGAGACCCCAGAGAACACAUUCAAGGUGGCGGAACAGGAGAUCCCACCUAGUCCCACUAUUCAUCAAAUCCAGAGUUCGGGAGAAAAUCAAAGGGCUUCU